GACAGAGGCCUCAAGCGUUAGGCGGAAUCACUGGGCUUAAAGCGUGUGUAGGCGGAUCGUUAAGUGUCUUGUGAAAUCCCACGGCUCACCCGUGGAACGGCUGGGCAUACUGGCGAUCUUGGGCCAACUAGGGGCAACUGGAACAAGCGGUGGAGCGGUGAAAUGCGUAGAUAUCGCUUGGAACGCCGAAGGUGAAAACAGGUUGCUGGGGUUGUGCCGACGCUGAGGUGCGAAAGCGUGGGGAGCAAACAGG
rnacentral:rRNA from 1 species